CCGGAAUUAUUGGGCGUAAAGAGCUUGUAGGCGGUUUGUCGCGUCUGCUGUGAAAGGCCGGGGCUUAACCCCGUGUAUUGCAGUGGGUACGGGCAGACUAGAGUGCAGUAGGGGAGACUGGAAUUCCUGGUGUAGCGGUGGAAUGCGCAGAUAUCAGGAGGAACACCGAUGGCGAAGGCAGGUCUCUGGGCUGUAACUGACGCUGAGAAGCGAAAGCAUGGGGAGCGAACAGGAUUAGAUACCCUGGUAGUCCAUGCCGUAAACGUUGGGCACUAGGUGUGGGGGACAUUCCACGUUUUCCGCGCCGUAGCUAACGCAUUAAGUGCCCCGCCUGGGGAGUACGGCCGCAAGGCUAAAACUCAAAGAAAUUGACGGGGGCCCGCACAAGCGGCGGAGCAUGCGGAUUAAUUCGAUGCAACGCGAAGAACCUUACCAAGGCUUGACAU
rnacentral:rRNA from 1 species